rnacentral:rRNA from 1 species
AGAGUUUGAUCCUGGCUCAGAUUGAACGCUGGCGGAAUGCUUUACACAUGCAAGUCGAGCGGCAGCGCGGGGGCAACCCUGGCGGCGAGCGGCGAACGGGUGAGUAACAUAUCGGAACGUACCCCGUCGUGGGGGAUAACACAGCGAAAGUUGUGCUAAUACCGCAUACGACCUGAGGGUGAAAGCGGGGGACCGUAAGGCCUCGCGCGAUGGGAGCGGCCGAUAUCAGAUUAGCUAGUUGGUGAGGUAAAGGCUCACCAAGGCGACGAUCUGUAGCGGGUCUGAGAGGAUGAUCCGCCACACUGGAACUGAGACACGGUCCAGACUCCUACGGGAGGCAGCAGUGGGGAAUUUUGGACAAUGGGGGCAACCCUGAUCCAGCCAUGCCGCGUGAGUGAAGAAGGCCUUCGGGUUGUAAAGCUCUUUCAGCCGGGAAGAAAUCACAUGGGUUAAUACCCUGUGUGGAUGACGGUACCGGAAUAAGAAGCACCGGCUAACUACGUGCCAGCAGCCGCGGUAAUACGUAGGGUGCGAGCGUUAAUCGGAAUUACUGGGCGUAAAGCGUGCGCAGGCGGUUUGUUAAGAUAGGCGUGAAAUCCCCGGGCUCAACCUGGGAACUGCGUUUAUGACUGGCAGGCUAGAGUAUGGCAGAGGGGGGUGGAAUUCCACGUGUAGCAGUGAAAUGCGUAGAGAUGUGGAGGAACACCGAUGGCGAAGGCAGCCCCCUGGGCCAAUACUGACGCUCAUGCACGAAAGCGUGGGUAGCAAACAGGAUUAGAUACCCUGGUAGUCC